rnacentral:rRNA from 1 species
AAUCUUCCACAAUGGACGAAAGGCUGAUGGAGCAACGCCGCUUGAGUGAAGAAGGCUUUCGGAUCGUAAAACUCUGUUGUAAGGGAAGAACACGUACGAGAGUAACUGCUCGUAUUCUGACGGUACCCAAUUUGAAAGCAACGGCUAACUACGUGUCAGCAGCCGUGGUAAUACGUAGGUGGUUAGCGUUGUCCGGAAUUAUUGGGCGCAAAGCGCGCGCAGGCGGUUCUUUAAGUCUGAUGUGAAAGCCCACGGCUCAACCGUGGAGGGUCAUUGGAAACUGGAGAACUUGAGUACAGAAGAGGAAAGCGGAAUUCCACGUGUAGCGGUGAAAUGCGUAGAAAUGUGGAGGAACACCAGUGGCGAAGGCGGCUUUCUGGUCUGUAACUGACGCUGAGGCGCGAAAGCGUGGGGAGCAAACA